rnacentral:rRNA from 1 species
CACGAAGGGGGCUAGCGUUGCUCGGAAUCACUGGGCGUAAAGCGCACGUAGGCGGUUUGCUAAGUCAGGGGUGAAAUCCUGGAGCUCAACUCCAGAACUGCCUUUGAUACUGGCGAUCUCGAGUCCGGGAGAGGUGAGUGGAACUGCGAGUGUAGAGGUGAAAUUCGUAGAUAUUCGCAAGAACACCAGUGGCGAAGGCGGCUCACUGGCCCGGUACUGACGCUGAGGUGCGAAAGCGUGGGGAGCAAACAGG